GCCUUAGUGGUGUAGCGGUUUGCACGGAGGACUGUGGAUCCUCAAGUCCGGGUUCGAUUCCAUACGGCG
rnacentral:tRNA from 1 species